rnacentral:lncRNA from 1 species
GAAUUUGUGUAAUUUUUCUAUACUGUCUGGACAUUGAACUCACUGGGUGUCUUGAUUGUGAAUUUUUUGAUUCAAUUUAAACACUUUCCUGGGUAGAUGCUAGACUCCUAAGAUUUAUAAAUGCUAGGUUGAAUUUGUGGUGCUUUCAGAUUCCUCAUUUGAAGAGGAACCUCAUCUACAGGAAUCACACUUCUCAACUAUUUUUCAUUAAUUGUUGUUUAUUAAUAUUUUACCUUAAAUAUUUCCCAAAAAGAUUUGUCAUGCCAUUUGUUUUCAUUGGUGGUUAGGAAUUGUUUUCUUAUAUCAAUCUCUCAAGAUCCAAAUAGUAAAAUAGUUACUAUGCUUUUUACUCUGCCACUAGAUUGAUAUGUUAUCUUUCUGGUAGUGGAUAUUGGGGAGUUGGAGAGCUUUCUCCUUGAUAUUCAGUAGAACAAAACUAAAAAGCGAAGAGAAUUUGAAAAAUCAUGUCAUGAAGAUUAUUUUGUAAUGUGUUUAUCCAAAAUAUUACUAAUGAAACUUUAUGCCAAUAUAUGUAUCUUCAAUAUGAUCAUUUGUGAUGUUAUUCAUUAGAAAUUUGAAGAAAUUCUUUGCCCAUAAUGGAAACUGGUAUGUUGAUAGAAAUAGUUAUGGCUGCUUAAUUCUGAUAUGACUUUUUUUUUCCUGUAUUACUCAAAAUCAAGUUGUUCUGAUAAAAAUCUAUGAGUUACUUUGAUGUUACUUUAAUACCUGGAAGACCUUGAAUGUUGAUUUGAAAUAAAAAUGCAGCAAGAGGGAAUUUUUUUUUCAGAUAAAAAUCACAAAGCAAUACUAGGAACAUUUAUAUCCAUAUGGAUGGGUUCCCAAGGCAUUAGUACUUAGGCUUAUAUAGCAAUAGAAAAAAAAAUGUAUUUUUUUCUGUUUCACCUGGCUUCUAUUGAAUAAAUAACCUCUCCGUCAUGUCAGAUCAACUUAGGAAUGGACUAACUAGUAGAUUUGUUAUUUCACUAAAUAAUAUUUACUGUUCUUGG